rnacentral:rRNA from 1 species
GCUAAGGUAGCAUAAUCAUUUGCUUUUUAAUUGAGGGCUGGUAUGAAUGGUUGUACAAUAAAGGUCUGUUUUCUGAUAUUAGUAUAAUUUGUAUUUUAAGUAAGAAUACUUAAGUACUAUAAGGGGACGAUAAGACCCUAAAAGCUUUAAUUUGUGUGGAUUAAUUAAUAAUAAUUUAAAUAAUGUUGGCUGGGGUAGUAGUUAUAUUAAAAUUAUAAUUAGAAUAUAUCUUGGAGAAGUAAGAUCCUUUAGAUAAGGAUAGUUAGAUUUAGUUACUUUAGGGAUAACAGCGUAAUAGUUUUGGAGAGAUCUUAUCGAUAUAAUUGUUUACGACCUCGAUGUUGAAUUAAGAUUUUUUAUAGUGCAGAAGAUAUAAUGAAGGGUUUGUUCAACCUAUAGUGUCUUACAUGAUCUGAGUUCAAACC